rnacentral:rRNA from 1 species
CUUAGCAGAGAUGCUUUGUGCCUUCGGGAACUCUGAGACAGGUGCUGCAUGGCUGUCGUCAGCUCGUGUUGUGAAAUGUUGGGUUAAGUCCCGCAACGAGCGCAACCCUUAUCCUUUGUUGCCAGCGAUUCGGUCGGGAACUCAAAGGAGACUGCCGGUGAUAAACCGGAGGAAGGUGGGGAUGACGUCAAGUCAUCAUGGCCCUUACGGCCAGGGCUACACACGUGCUACAAUGGCGCAUACAAAGAGAAGCGACCUCGCGAGAGCAAGCGGACCUCAUAAAGUGCGUCGUAGUCCGGAUUGGAGUCUGCAACUCGACUCCAUGAAGUCGGAAUCGCUAGUAAUCGUAGAUCAGAAUGCUACGGUGAAUGCGUUCCCGGGCCUUGUACACACCGCCCGUCACACCAUGGGAGUGGGUUGCAAAAGAAGUAGGUAGCUUAACCUUCGGGAGGGCGCUUACCACUUUGUGAUUCAUGACUGGGGUGAAGUCGUAACAAGGUAAGCGUACUACA